CAGAGUGGAUCCUGAGUACGGCGGAACACGUGAAAUUCCGUCGGAAUCCGGGAGGACCAUCUCCCAAGGCUAAAUACUCCCUAGUGACCGAUAGUGAACCAGUACCGUGAGGGAAAGGUGAAAAGCACCCCGGAAGGGGAGUGAAACAGUUCCUGAAACCGUGUGCCUACAAGUAGUUAGAGCCCGUUAAUGGGUGAUAGCGUGCCUUUUGUAGAAUGAACCGGCGAGUUACGAUUUGUUGCAAGGUUAAGCGGAAAAAGCGGAGCCGUAGCGAAAGCGAGUCUGAAUAGGGCGCAUAAGUAACAGGUCGUAGACCCGAAACCAGGUGAUCUACCCAUGUCCAGGAUGAAGGUAAGGUAAUACUUACUGGAGGUCCGAACCCACGCACGUUGAAAAGUGCGGGGAUGAGGUGUGGGUAGCGGAGAAAUUCCAAUCGAACUUGGAGAUAGCUGGUUCUCUCCGAAAUAGCUUUAGGGCUAGCCUCGAGGUAAAGAGUCAUGGAGGUAGAGCACUGUUUGGACUAGGGGCCCUUCUCGGGUUACCGAAUUCAGAUAAACUCCGAAUGCCAUGUACUUAUACUCGGGAGUCAGACUGCGAGUGAUAAGAUCCGUAGUCGAAAGGGAAACAGCCCAGACCACCAGUUAAGGUCCCCAAAUAUAUGUUAAGUGGAAAAGGAUGUGGGGUUGCUUAGACAACCAGGAUGUUGGCUUAGAAGCAGCCACCAUUGAAAGAGUGCGUAAUAGCUCACUGGUCGAGUGACCCCGCGCCGAAAAUGUACCGGGGCUAAACAUAUUACCGAAACUGUGGAUGAACCUCUUUAGAGGUUCGUGGUAGGAGAGCGUUCUAAGGGCGGUGAAGUCAGACCGGAAGGACUGGUGGAGCGCUUAGAAGUGAGAAUGCCGGUAUGAGUAGCGAAAGAAGGGUGAGAAUCCCUUCCACCGAAUAUCUAAGGUUUCCUGAGGAAGGCUCGUCCGCUCAGGGUUAGUCGGGACCUAAGCCGAGGCCGAUAGGCGUAGGCGAUGGACAACAGGUAGAGAUUCCUGUACCAGUGCUAAUUGUUUAACCGAUGGGGUGACACAGAAGGAUAGGGAAUCGCACGAAUGGAAAUGUGCGUCCAAGCAGUGAGUGUGAGAAGUAGGCAAAUCCGCUUCUCGCGAAGCAUGAGCUGUGAUGGGGAAGGAAAUUAAGUACGGAAGUUCCUGAUUUCACGCUGUCAAGAAAAGCCUCUAGGAAGAGUAGUACUGCCCGUACCGCAAACCGACACAGGUAGAUGAGGAGAGAAUCCUAAGGUGAGCGAGAGAACUCUCGUUAAGGAACUCGGCAAAAUGACCCCGUAACUUCGGGAGAAGGGGUGCUCUAUUAGGGUGCAAGCCCGAGAGAGCCGCAGUGAAUAGGCCCAGGCGACUGUUUAGCAAAAACACAGGUCUCUGCAAAACCGUAAGGUGACGUAUAGGGGCUGACGCCUGCCCGGUGCUGGAAGGUUAAGAGGAGUGCUUAGCUUCGGCGAAGGUACGAAUUGAAGCCCCAGUAAACGGCGGCCGUAACUAUAACGGUCCUAAGGUAGCGAAAUUCCUUGUCGGGUAAGUUCCGACCCGCACGAAAGGCGCAACGAUCUGGGCACUGUCUCAACGAGAGACUCGGUGAAAUUAUAGUACCUGUGAAGAUGCAGGUUACCCGCGACAGGACGGAAAGACCCCGUGGAGCUUUACUGCAACCUGAUAUGGAAUGUUUGUACCGCUUGUACAGGAUAGGUAGGAGCCGAAGAGACGUGUGCGCUAGCAUACGAGGAGGCAAUGGUGGGAUACUACCCUGGCUGUAUGACCAUUCUAACCCGCCACGCUUAGCGCGUGGGGAGACAGUGUCAGGUGGGCAGUUUGACUGGGGCGGUCGCCUCCUAAAGAGUAACGGAGGCGCCCAAAGGUUCCCUCAGAAUGGAUGGAAAUCAUUCGCAGAGUGUAAAGGCACAAGGGAGCUUGACUGCGAGACUGACAAGUCGAGCAGGGACGAAAGUCGGGCUUAGUGAUCCGGUGGUUCCGCAUGGAAGGGCCAUCGCUCAACGGAUAAAAGCUACCCCGGGGAUAACAGGCUUAUCUCCCCCAAGAGUCCACAUCGACGGGGAGGUUUGGCACCUCGAUGUCGGCUCGUCGCAUCCUGGGGCUGUAGUCGGUCCCAAGGGUUGGGCUGUUCGCCCAUUAAAGCGGCACGCGAGCUGGGUUCAGAACGUCGUGAGACAGUUCGGUCCCUAUCCGUCGCGGGCGCAGGAAAUUUGAGAGGAGCUGUCCUUAGUACGAGAGGACCGGGAUGGACACACCGCUGGUGUACCAGUUGUUCCGCCAGGAGCAUCGCUGGGUAGCUAUGUGUGGCAGGGAUAAACGCUGAAAGCAUCUAAGCGUGAAGCCCCCCUCAAGAUGAGAUUUCCCAUUUCUUCGGAAAGUAAGAUCCCUGAAAGAUGAUCAGGUAGAUAGGUUUGGAGUGGAAGUGUAGCGAUACAUGGAGCGGACAAAUACUAAUCGAUCGAGGACUUAACCAAAA
rnacentral:rRNA from 2 species